AGGACGAACGCUGGCGGCGUGCUUAACACAUGCAAGUCGAGCGGAAAGGCCCUUCGGGGUACUCGAGCGGCGAACGGGUGAGUAACACGUGAGGAACCUGCCCUGGACUUUGGGAUAACCCUCGGAAACGGGGGCUAAUACCGAAUAUGACGACCGGUCGCAUGAUCUGGUUGUGGAAAGUUUUUUCGGUCUGGGAUGGUCUCGCGGCCUAUCAGCUUGUUGGUGGGUAAUGGCCUACCAAGGCGACGACGGGU
rnacentral:rRNA from 1 species